rnacentral:rRNA from 1 species
UACGUAGGGUGCGAGCGUUGUCCGGAAUUAUUGGGCGUAAAGGGCUCGUAGGCGGUUUGUCGCGUCGGGAGUGAAAACUCAGGGCUUAACCCUGAGCCUGCUUCCGAUACGGGCAGACUAGAGGUAUGCAGGGGAGAACGGAAUUCCUGGUGUAGCGGUGAAAUGCGCAGAUAUCAGGAGGAACACCGGUGGCGAAGGCGGUUCUCU